AUUGAACGCUGGCGGCAGGCCUAACACAUGCAAGUCGAGCGAGUGGCGGACGGGUGAGUAAUGUCUGGGAAACUGCCCGAUGGAGGGGGAUAACUACUGGAAACGGUAGCUAAUACCGCAUACCAUCGGAUGUGCCCAGAUGGGAUUAGCUUGUUGGUGGGGUAACGGCUCACCAAGGCGACGAUCCCUAGCUGGUCUGAGAGGAUGACCAGCCACACUGGACCUAAGCCACGGCCCAGACGCGUACGGGAGGCAGCAGUGGGGAAUAUGGCAAAAUGGGCGCAAGCCUGAUGCAGCCGUGCCGCGUGUAUGAAGAAGGCCUUAGGGUUGUAAAGUACUUUCAGCGGGGAGGCGUUACCCGCAGAAGAAGCACCGGCUAACUCCGUGCCAGCAGCCGCGGUAAUUC
rnacentral:rRNA from 1 species